GUAGAUGUGCAAGGUGCAUUCUGGUUCUUAUGAUAGUUACAGAACUAGAUGUCAUACCAGUAGAUGCUAUGAUAUUGUACUUCAAAAAUAAUGAUUCAUAACCCUUGCUAAGAAGCCAAGAUCUUACCAGAAGUCUAUGCACAUAGAGCAGGGAUAUACGUGAUUAUCUUAAGUAGAAAUACAUGAAGGUACAGAGAGUA
rnacentral:lncRNA from 1 species